UCAAGCGAACAAGGGCGCAGGGCGAAUGCCUUGGCACUGGGAGCCGAUGAAAGACGUGAUAAGCUGCGAUAAGCUUCGGGGAGCUGCAAAUAAGCAUUGAUCCGGAGAUUUCUGAAUGAGGAAACUCACCUGGGUUCAUACUCAGGUACGUUAUACUGAACUUCAAAAUAGGUAUAUCGAGGGAACCGCCUGAACUGAAACAUCUAAGUAGGGCGAGGAAGAGACAUCAAACGAGAUUCCGUAAGUAGUGGCGAGCGAACGCGGAAGAGGGCAAACCGAGAGUAGAAAUACUUUCGGGGUACGGACCGCAUUUAGGACUUAAGUUGUUAACCGAACGGCAUGGGAAGGCCGGUCAGAGAGUGUGAGAACCACGUAGGUGAAAACGACAAGAGCCGAGCAAAUUCCAGAGUACGGCCAGACACGUGAAACCUGGUCGGAAUACGGGGGGACCACCCUCCAACCCUAAAUACUACCCAGUGACCGAUAGCGUAUAGUACUGUGAAGGAAAGGUGAAAAGCACCCCGGGAGGGGAGUGAAAAAGAACCUGAAACCCUGUGCCUACAAGCACCUAGAGCACGUCAAUGUGUGAUAGGGUACUUUUUGUAGAACGGUCCGGCGAGCGAUUGUAUGCAGCAAGGUUAAGGACUUAAGGUCUGGAGCCGAAGCGAAAGCGAGUUUGAAAAGGGCGUUAAGUUGCAUAUAAUGGGCCCGAAACCGGGUGACCUACCCAUGGUCAGGUUGAAGUGGAAGUAAAAUUCCAUGGAGGACCGAACCGACCUCCGUUGAAAAGGCGGCGGAUGAACUGUGGGUAGCGGAGAAAUUCCAAUCGAACCCGGAGAUAGCUGGUUCUCCCCGAAAUAGUUUUAGGACUAGCCUCAAGUUAGAUACCUGGAGGUAAAGCACUGAAUAGCCUAGCGGCCGAGAGGUUAGCGAAGCUUAUCAAACUCAGAAUGCCAGAGUAUUGAUGCUUGGGAGUCAGACAGUGUCAGAUAAAUGUCAUUGUCAAAAGGGAAACAGCCCAGAUCUACAGCUAAGGUCCCAAAGUCAGGUUAAGUGGAAAACGAUGUGAAGAUACGUAGACAACCAGGAUGUUGGCUCAGAAGCAGCCACUCAUUCAAAGAGUGCGUAAUAGCUCACUGGUCGAGCGUCUUUGCGCGGAGAAUUUAACGGGGCUAAACCUGACACCGAAGCUUAGGCAAUACAGCAAUGUAUUGGGUAGGGGAGCGUUGUAUACGCGGUGAAACAGUAGCGCAAGCGGCUGUGGAGUGUAUAGAAGUGAGAAUGCCGGAAUGAGUAGCGCGAAUGCAGUGAGAAUCUGCAUGGCCGAAAGCCUCAGGUUUCUGGAGGAAGGUUCGUCCGCUCCAGGUUAGUCGGGAGCUAAGGUGAGGCCUAACGGCGUAGCCGAUGCACAGACGGUAGAGAUUCCGUCACCACCAAAAGAGUUAAACACAGGGACACAUAUGAAGUCUCGGAGCCGGGUGUUGGUUCCGGUAGCGAUCGAGGGAAAUUAGUACCGAAGUCCGGGAUGGAAGAUGGCGAGAAAAGCUGUGUGUAUUUCUGCGGUGCCCGUACCGCAAACCGACACAGGUAGGUAGGAAGAAGAUUCUAAGGCCAACGGGAGAAGGGUUGUUAAGGAACUCGGCAAAUUGACCCCGUAACUUCGGGAGAAGGGGUGCUCCAGAGAUGGAGCCGCAGAGAAUCGGCCCAAGCAACUGUUUACCAAAAACACAGGUUUGUGCUAAAUCGAAAGAUGACGUAUACGAGCUGACGCCUGCCCGGUGCUGGAAGGUUAAGAGGAGAUGUGCAAGCAUUGAAUCGAAGCCCCAGUGAACGGCGGCCGUAACUAUAACGGUCCUAAGGUAGCGAAAUUCCUUGUCAGGUAAGUUCUGACCCG
rnacentral:rRNA from 1 species